GACGAACGUUGGCGGCGUGCUUAAUACAUGCAAGUCAACUGAAGCACCGGUAGUAAUACUGGUGUGGAGGUGGCGCACGGGUGAGUAACACGUAGGUAAUCUGCCUUCAGGUCUGACAUAACCCCGAGAAAUCGGGGCUAAUAGCAGAUGAUGCAGCGGCUUGACAUCAAGACAGUUGUUAAAGCUUCGGCGCCUGAAGAUGAGCCUGCGUCUGAUUAGCUAGUUGGCGGAGUAAUAGCCCACCAAGGCGACGAUCAGUAGCUGGUCUGAGAGGAUGAUCAGCCACACUGGAACUGAGACACGGUCCAGACUCCUACGGGAGCAGCAGUAAGGAAUAUUGCUCAAUGGGAGAAUCCUGAAGCAGCAACGCCGCGUGAGGGA
rnacentral:rRNA from 1 species